rnacentral:rRNA from 1 species
AAGGGCGUUUAGUGGAUGCCUUGGCAUUGAGAGGCGAUGAAGGACGUAGCACGCUGCGAUAAGCUUCGGGGAGUUGCCAGCAAACUUUAAUCCGAAGAUUUCC